AACGAACGCUGGCGGCAUGCCUAACACAUGCAAGUCGAACGAGACCUUCGGGUCUAGUGGCGCACGGGUGCGUAACGCGUGGGAAUCUGCCCUUGGGUUCGGAAUAACAGUUAGAAAUGACUGCUAAUACCGGAUGAUGACGUAAGUCCAAAGAUUUAUCGCCCAGGGAUGAGCCCGCGUAGGAUUAGCUAGUUGGUGAGGUAAAGGCUCACCAAGGCGACGAUCCUUAGCNGGUCUGAGAGGAUGAUCAGCCACACUGGGACUGAGACACGGCCCAGACUCCUACGGGAGGCAGCAGUGGGAAUAUUGGACAAUGGGCGAAAGCCUGAAUCCAGCAAUGCCGCGUGAGUGAUGAAGGCCUUAGGGUUGUAAA
rnacentral:rRNA from 1 species